GAUGAACGCUGGCGGCGUGCCUAAUACAUGCCAGUCGAGCGAACGGACGAGAAGCUUGCUUCUCUGAUGUUAGCGGCGGACGGGUGAGUAACACGUGGAUAACCUACCUAUAAGACUGGGAUAACUUCGGGAAACCGGAGCUAAUACCGGAUAAUAUUUUGAACCGCAUGGUUCAAAAGUGAAAGACGGUCUUGCUGUCACUUAUAGAUGGAUCCGCGCUGCAUUAGCUAGUUGGUAAGGUAACGGCUUACCAAGGCAACGAUGCAUAGCCGACCUGAGAGGGUGAUCGGCCACACUGGAACUGAGACACGGUCCAGACUCCUACGGGAGGCAGCAGUAGGGAAUCUUCCGCAAUGGGCGAAAGCCUGACGGAGCAACGCCGCGUGAGUGAUGAGGUCUUCGGAUCGUAAAACUCUGUUAUUAGGGAAGAACAUAUGUGUAAGUAACUGUGCACAUCUUGACGGUACCUAAUCAGAAAGCCACGGCUAACUACGUG
rnacentral:rRNA from 1 species